AGGUACCGUGAGCAGGUGUGGAGCUGAAGCUUGGAGAGAGCAGCUGCCAAAGCGGACCGUGGGGAACGUGUUGACAUCUGAGCAUCACCUGAGCCUUUGCUGGGCAGGGCAGUUCCCACCCAUCUCUGUCAUCGGCCUUUGAGUCUCGACAUCAUCGUGGAUCUUUUUGCCCGAGGAGCUCGCCUUCAGAUCUGGCACGAUCGCCACGGUCUCCAUUUUACCUACUCGCUGGCGUAGCCGCCUGCGGGCAUCUUGGCCACUUGCUGGAUGGUCAAAGAGCCUGUUGGAGUGCUGGCCUGGAUUUGGGAGGAGCCAAGUAGCCUGGAGCAGUGAGGUUUUUCCUGUCAGAAAUCCAUGCUGGGGAUGUUUUCCCUGGCUGUCCCAAGGGGAAGGAACAGCUCUGGAGUUUUUGCAGCCACAGGCUGGGGAUGCAUCCCCUGAAAACCAGUUCAGGAUCGGUCAUCUGACUCUGUCCCUGACCUGUGGCUUCCAGGGAGCCUUCUGGUCUUCUGGAUAUUCCCAGGAGAGGAUAUUUCACCACGUGACUUUUAAGCCAGGAAUUCCAAACCCACACCGUUCCAGGGGAAAGCUGGUGAAAGGAUAAAGAUGCAGAGGAACAAGUGUUGUAAACCCCCCUGCCUCCCUGACAAAGCAAACCUUUCUGCAAUCCCAGUAAAUCUCUUGGAGAAGCUGUGGGAUCAUAAGGUUUCCUAGGAAAGGAAAACUAAGGACAGAGAUGAGGAAAGAGGCUUCCAAUUAACAAUGAUUUGAUGGAGGAUGAGGAAGCCAGGCCUGCUGAGGAGGAAGAUGAGGAAGUGUGUGAGGAUGGAGACAGCGGCCACCAAAGGCUGGGGAAGGCACAGAUCCAGGUAGGAGACGUUGCCUUGCGAGGAGAGGGACUUGUCUGUCCCGUUGGAAUUUGGGGCGUGAGGCCAGUGGAACAAAGGGUUUGAUUCCAUUUUCUUGCUCAGAUUUUCACGUGCCUUAAGAGAGCUUUGCGAAAAUGUCAUUAUCCCUGAUUGAGUCUCUGAAAAACAGGGAUUGAAGCUUUCAGAAGGGGCCCAACCCUGCCUGCAUGUAUCCAAGUGCAGCCCCCACUCCCUGUUUUUGUGUACAGCUGGGAUGAGACCUCAGCUGCUGUUACUUGCCAGCUCACAAGUUGUGUAGCUCAGAGCCUCAGCCAUGAAGGGCCAGGCUGUGUUUAAAACAGCCCAAGGUACCAGAGAGCUGGAGUAAUUUCCUAGCAGGUAACUUGACUUGGAAGCUGCAUUCUAAAAUUUGUCCACAUUUAAUUUAUGCCCCACAUGGAGACACCUAAAGAAGCAGAGGUGGGGUGUUCCUAA